UCCUACGGGAGGCAGCAGUAGGGAAUCUUCCACAAUGGACGAAAGUCUGAUGGAGCAACGCCGCGUGAGUGAAGAAGGGUUUCGGCUCGUAAAACUCUGUUGUUAAAGAAGAACACCUUGAGAGUAACUGUCAAGGGUGACGUUAUU
rnacentral:rRNA from 1 species